rnacentral:rRNA from 1 species
UACGUAGGGUGCAAGCGUUAUCCGGAAUUAUUGGGCGUAAAGAGCUCGUAGGCGGUUUGUCGCGUCUGCUGUGAAAGACCGGGGCUCAACUCCGGUUCUGCAGUGGGUACGGGCAGACUAGAGUUCGGUAGGGGAGACUGGAAUUCCUGGUGUAGCGGUGAAAUGCGCAGAUAUCAGGAGGAACACCGAUGGCGAAGGCAGGUCUCUGGGCCGAUACUGACGCUGAGGAGCGAAAGCGUGGGGAGCGAACAGG